rnacentral:rRNA from 1 species
AGUGAACGCUGGCGGUAGGCCUAACACAUGCAAGUCGAACGGCAGCACAGUAAGAGCUUGCUCUUACGGGUGGCGAGUGGCGGACGGGUGAGGAAUACAUCGGAAUCUACUUUUUCGUGGGGGAUAACGUAGGGAAACUUACGCUAAUACCGCAUACGACCUACGGGUGAAAGCAGGGGAUCUUCGGACCUUGCGCUAUUGAAUGAGCCGAUGUCGGAUUAGCUAGUUGGCGGGGUAAAGGCGCACCAAGGCGACGAUCCGUAGCUGGUCUGAGAGGAUGACCAGCCACACUGGAACUGAGACACGGUCCAGACUCCUAAGGGAGGAAGCAGUGGGGAAUAUUGGACAAUGGGCGCAAGCCUGAUCCAGCCAUACCGCGUGGGUGAAGAAGGCCUUCGGGUUGUAAAGCCCUUUUGUUGGGAAAGAAAAGCAGCAGGUUAAUACCCCGCUGUUCUGACGGUACCCAAAGAAUAAGCACCGGCUAACUUCGUG